GACGAACGCUGGCGGCGUGCCUAAUACAUGCAAGUUGAGCGCUGAAGGCUGGUACUUGUACCAACUGGAUGAGCAGCGAACGGGUGAGUAACGCGUGGGGCAUCUGCCUUUGAGCGGGGGACAACAUUUGGAAACGAAUGCUAAUACCGCAUAAAAACUUUAAACACAAGUUUUAAGUUUGAAAGAUGCAAUUGCAUCACUCAAAGAUGAUCCCGCGUUGUAUUAGCUAGUUGGUGAGGUAAAGGCGCAACAAGGCGAUGAUACAUAGCCGACCGGAGAGGGUGAUCGGCCACAUUGAGACUGAGACACGGCCCAAACUCCUACGGGAGGCAGCAGUACGGAAACUUCGGCAAUGGACGAAAGUCUGACCGAGAAACGCCGCGGGAGUGAAGAAGGAUGUCGGAUCGUAAAACUCUGUUGGUAGAGAAGAACGUUGGUGAGAGUGGAAAGCUCAUCAAGUGACGGUAACUACCCAGAAAGGGACGGCUAACUACGUG
rnacentral:rRNA from 1 species